GUGGGAUUAGUGUCUUUAUAAAAGAGACUCCAGAGAGAUCCCUUGACCCCUUCCUCCAUGUUAAGACACAGGAAGAAGAAAGCCCUCUGUGAAGAAGGAACCCACUCUCACUAGACACUGAAUCUGCCAAUGCCUUGAUCUUGGACUUCUUAGCCUCCAGAAUUGCAUGGCUAGUUCAUGUGGUCCAAACCAGCAGUUCCAAGGCGUCUGUGAGUGUCACCUGAAGUGGGGACCAACCUGGAAGAACAUCAGCACACAAGGCUUUCAUUGGAACUGAAACUGCUGCUGGGCCAGCAGGUACAAUGGAAGCGCAGCGUUUCUAGGAGGCCGAUACUCAACCAGAACACGUUGUGAUCAGCACUCAUGUAGCUUUCUUCACCUGCAAGCUCAUUUAACAGCUUUCCAAGAAUACGUAAAUCAGGUUUUCCCUGGACAGUGAGGACUCAUCCUACGGAUUGGAAGCUGAAGUAGACCAGAAGCCAUCUAACAUUUCUUCCAAUCCUGGAAUUCUAUGAUGCUAUGAAAAUCAAGUUAUUGUAAGAGGUUCUGAUAUUAGGGGCUCCAUGAGUAUUCUUGAAUGGAUGAAAUCAGUAGACAUUAUUUGCAGCAUCUACGCUAUCUUUAGAAUUACUUUCAUGUCUGACUUUUUUGCAAGUCUGAUAACAUCCCUCCUGUGGAAACAACGCUUCUGAGACUUUCCAUGGUCUUUGGAAUUUACUGGGGUUUGUAAGACCCGCCAUGAUCUGCUCCCAACUCCUCUUCAGCCUUCUCUGUGGUUCAGACGAGAGGAACCACCAGCCUUCCCUAGACAGGCCGCAAGCUCUUCAGUCUCCUUUUCUGGUCGAGCUGACCUUACUUGAAAGGCAAUGCUGUGCUGAGUGGAAACAUAUUCAGACAGAACCUUGAUGGUACUGAAAUAAACCCUGGUGGGGUUCAGGCAGGGUGAUGUGUCGCUCCAACAGAAGUCCUCAAGCUUAACUCGCCUCCUUAGCCCUCUGGAACACGUAAACAACACCCCAAGUGUACUGAAGUCAGACCACCUUGCCAGAACUAAGAAAACUUCUGCAGACUCAUCAGCUAAGUAAUCAAUCAAUUUUCCUUGAUUAUUUCAAUCCUGGGCCCCAUCUCUUCUUUUUAUACAUGUCUGCCAUUAAUCUUGGGCAUUAUUUUCCUAAAUAAGCAAGCUUUCUUCCCAUGUCUAAUCUCUUUGUUGGUUCUCUUAGUAUAACAGUUCCUAAGACACAUAGUAUGGUCUAUCCAUAUUUAAAAAAGCAUGGCUGAUACCAAAGCUUGUUUAUGUCCAUGAGACUAGUCAAUAGUGACAUAAGUGUAUAGAAAAACAAAUCUUGCUCAUUUUUGAACCUUGGAGAAAAAUUAUACCCUAAAAAACAUGUAUCCACUGUUUUUUUUCUUUUUUGCAUGGCCUUCUGGGAGGAGCGUCUACUUCACUCAGAGGAUUCGUGCACAGGCCCAUGCUCCUUGAUGGAGAAAGCAAACUCUGGAGCCUGGUGGGAGAGGGAAAGAGGCCCUGAGCGCCAGGGGAGGGAAAAGAGAGGCGGAAGGGAAAAGAAAGCCUGCAAUGAAGUCAUGAAAAUCUCCAUUUAUAGAGAUGCUCUACUUGAGUGUUUUGUUCAACAUCAUCUGUGAGAAGGAAUAUGAGUUUUUCCUCAAGGCCCUCUCUCACGUCAGAAGAUACACUAAAGCAGUUCCCUUAGUGAAUGAUUUAUCUGGAUUCAUCUGAUAGGGACCGAGUCAUUCAAAAGAAACUAUGACAGUGGAAGAGAGUGAGCUUAAAAUUUCAUCAUAAAGCCCUGAUCAUCCCACAGGUGGGGCUCAUGGAAAUUAGAUCAGUGGAGAAAAAAUAAAGACGUAGCAUUUCAUUGCACAGCUGAGCACAGUGUGUGAGGAAGUCUGCACUCCUGUUACACCUAUAUAAGCACAGGUCCUGCACCCAGGAGAUCCAAGCCAGGUCACACCACAGCAGGCCCGGCCCUCAGCGCUGGGAUCCACCUGCUGACUUGAACCUGGGGCCCAGCUUGCCCUGGGUGGAACACUAGGCAUCUUCCUGCACUUUGGGUUCAGCAUCCUUUCCUGCUUCCAAGCUUUUGCGUCAGUCUGACUUUCCUUUCAUGCUCACUCCUCACCAGCACUGAAGACCUGCUCUGAACCCCUCGACUUCCCCCCUGCCUGCUUCCUAAGAGUGCCUUCUCCAUAAGGACUGACCGUCCUCAUCUUCUCAGAUGAUGCCUAAGAUAUCUGCUUUUACCAGACAACAAAGAGGCUGUCUUUGACCUAACAAAAUAUUGCUGCUUUCCGGACAACCCCCGCCACCUUGUGGCACCCCAGGCAGGAUAAACAUUAACUGUGGCCUCUUGAAUGCUCUAACUUACCUUACUGACUUCCUGCGGGCCAAUAUACCUUCAUAUUAGUUCAAAUUAGCCAUGGACCCAUCUCGUCCCAAUUUAUUCCUGCUGAGUGCACCACUGGGCCCACUGCUGGGGGCUAUGACUACUAGAUAGAAAAGCAAAUACAAAUCGCAGUCUAGAUUAAAUUAGGAUCAUAUAAAUUAAGAUUUAAGGGGAAAGGUGCUAGAUUGUAUUUUGGUAUUUAUUUCUUUAUAAGCCCAAAAUGUUAAUUUGCUUUAUUAUUCAAGAACUUUUUUUUUUUUUGCUGGCAAAGAUUCACAC
ensembl:lncRNA